rnacentral:rRNA from 1 species
CCUACGGGAGGCAGCAGUGAGGAAUAUUGGUCAAUGGGCGCGAGCCUGAACCAGCCAAGUCGCGUGAGGGAAGACGGUCCUAUGGAUUGUAAACCUCUUUUGUCGGGGAGCAAAAGACGCCACGCGUGGCGUUCCGAGAGUACCCGAAGAAAAAGCAUCGGCUAACUCCGUGCCAGCAGCCGGGGUAAUACGGAGGAUGCGAUCCUUAUCCGGAUGUAUUGGGGUAAAAGGGUGCGCAGGCGGAAGGUCAAGUGAGCGGUAAAAUUGAGAGGCUCAACCUCUUCGAGCCGUUGAAACUGGUUUUCUUGAGUGAGUGAGAAGUAUGCGGAAUGCGUGGUGUAGCGGUGAAAUGCAUAGAUAUCACGAAGAACUCCGAUGGCGAAGGCAGCAUACCGGCGCUCAACUGACGCUCAGGCACGAAAGUGUGGGUAUCGAACAGGAUUAGAUACCCCGGUAGUC